AGUACAACCCUACGAAACUGCUUCCCACUCGUCUUUUCCGUCUUCUCACUUGCGUAUGUAAUAUCUUCUCUUCUCUUCUAUGUAUUUUUGCUCUUAAUUAUUCCUUUGAUUUCCUUCAGGCACCAUUGAAAUCAUCACAUGUAAGCUAGGGUUUUAUUAAGAACCACAUGUCGACCGCUCUGUUAUCGGCAACCUCGACCACUCACCUUUCCGGCCGGCAACAUCAGCCUCAACCUCACCCUAUUUUCUUACCUAGUAACUUCCUUUGUUUGAAUACAAAUUGUCUAUCUAUGAAGCCCUAGGUCUGAUUCUUCUCCCUAUUCCCCAAACCACGCUCCUCCUUAGUCCUCACACAGUUCACCAUGAACCCUAGACCCAUCGUCAAGCUUUCUCACUUCCUUAUAUCUGGGUAAUACUUCUACUACCAAAAACCCUCUAUUCAUUUUAUUUCUUGAUUCAGUGUUGUUGAAUGUUUUGUCCCUAUUCCCCAAACCGCGCUCCUCCUAAUGGUUCAACUCAACAAGUACAGGAAGAAGUUGCAAUGUUUUGUCCAAUGAUAUGCAGUGAAGUCCUUCAUUGGAUUUCAAUUUCUGUGUUUUUGAAGCUGUGUGAAUGAAUUGAUAUUUCCCUCCACUGAGUACGCCCUUCUGCUUCUCUGUGCGAUUUCUUCUACUCCUUCCCCAGAUGAAAUUUCUCUUUGUGGGAGUCAAAAUCUUCUCUGGUAACUCACAAUUAGACAUGAACCUUGUGGGAAUGGGUGCUGCUAUUUUAGGGAUGCGGGACCCUGUAGGAAUCCUAGUGGCUAAGGAUCUUACUUCUUCAGCUACGCCAUAUUACUAAGGUACCCCUCCUGAGGUUAGCCCUGUUCUUGCAUUGGAUGUGUUCUUGGUUCUGGUGAGAUUUAUUUAUUCAUUUUCUGUAUAUAUAUAUAUAUAUAUAUAUAUAUAUAUAUAUAUAUAUAUAUAUAUAUCAUGAAUUAUUUAAUGAUAUGAUGAAUUUAUAUGUCAGUUAUAGUGCCAGAGAACACCCCGGUUCCUAGGGCGACUUGAGGUUUUUGUUUUUUACCAGGGGUAUUAUGGUAAUUUGUUUUGGUGGACAUUUUGUAGUGUGGUUUAAGUUGACUAGGGUUGUAGUGUUUUCUUCCCAUGGGUUAAAGAAAUGUAGGAAAUUGAAGGUUUAUAUACAGUAUAAUAAAUUUGUAGGGUGUGUUGAUCACAUUGUUUAUGAAUGUUGUUGCAUACAACUAUUGAUUUAUGGUUUGUCCUCUAUGUCUACAAUUCACUUACAAAUAGAUGGGAAAGGGAAAGAUAUAAUUUGUUUAAGAUGUUUUGACCCAUAAAACAACAAAUUCACAUAAUACAACUCACAUACAAGUCACUUAGUUAUUAUAAUUUGUUUUUGAGAGAAUUCGAAGAAGUUUUUUACAUUGUAUCACAUGUGACCUUUUCCCCGCUGACAAUAUCCAUGGAUAUGUGGAGUCUUUGUCCAUUACUAAUGGAAGCUUCGACUGGCUAGGUUAUUGAAAAUUUACACGGUAUAUAUGCUAAAAUACUUUUUCAUUUUUCUUAUUCUUCAUAUGAAAGCUCUCUAAUGGAGCCAAAUUACGAACAAAUUUUAUGGUGUAUGCUUUCCAAAGUAUGUUGUUCCUAUAAAAAAAUUAUGAAACAAUAUCUUAUGUAAUCCUUGACACUUGAGAAACUAUAUAUGUAUUACUUCCAUACUUGUAUUUCUUUUUUCAGUGACUUUUUUCUCUUUUGUAUCAGGUAAUGAGUGAAAAAAACUUGCAAGAUGAAAACACGAAACCUGCACCUAUGCUUAUAUCAUUAGUGUUACAGAACUGCAGGGGAUACGUGGACCAUUAAGCCGAAUCAUAUAUUAGAAUCAAAAUUGAACGAAUUCACCAAGUUGAAAGCCACAACUUGAAGUGCCUUUUGAUCAGUCAUCUAAUAAAGAUUGUUUUUGCAUUUUAUGUUUUCAUUUUUUGCAUUUGUGUCAGUUCACGAAUCUCAUGUUCGUCCUGGCACAGCCUCUGGGAGAACUGCACCUGUCAAAGAGAGAAACGAAAUGUCUCAGCAUGAUUCCAAGAGUGGAACUGUUGAAACAUGGACAAGAGAAGGACCACCACAUCAUCACAUGGUGUCGCAGAUUCUGCUGAUAAGCCUGGUACGCUUCCCAAGUCGCUAUGUGGGUAUGUAGAAAGGCUUUGGCUCGUUGUAAGGAUGAUAGAUAGAUGACAGCUUGCCAAAAUGUCCUCAAGCAGUUUAUCACCAAAGCAAGUAAUGAAGGCAAUCUUUCUACACGAGACUAGAAUAUUGAGCCUCUUUUCCCAAAUCCUAACACUGAUACCAUUAAUAAUGAAUCAAAUCCUCCAUCACUAAUGAUGAACAUAAGAGCAGUAGAGCCAGAGGUCGAUCCUGAAAGAGAUCAGCGCACGGUCUUUGCAUAUCAGUCCACUGCAACAGCUGCUGGAGUUGCAGGUGGUGCAACAUAUGCAAGGGGGGCUAGAAAAUUGUAUGUGGGCAAUCUUCAUUAUAAUAUGAAAGAAUAUCAACUUCUAUAGGUUUCUCCACCUUUCUUUUUUUAGAAAUUUCAAAUAUCACAAGAUUUUUUAAAUGUUUUUAAAAUAAUCUAGCUUUAUUCACUUGUCAGGUGU